rnacentral:piRNA from 1 species
UGAGUUGUAUUUUGAUUCCAGAUGUGUUCCU